GGGGCGCCUUGGGAGGUAGGGUUGCGCUGGCCACGUGACGGGACCCGUUCCAGCCGCCCGAGGGUUAAAGCCUCUAGUGCCGUAAUUGUGACCCCGCAAGGCUUCGUUGACGAAGCGCUUUUUUGGUAUUUUCGCUACCUUCACCGACCACUCUGCAACUGUCUAGUUCUAACUCAGGUUCCGUGGACUCCCUGAACAAAAUGCAAAUGGAAAAUCUACAUACUCUGCCUCCACUUCAAGAACUCCUCUGGGGUCCUGCCUCAAUUACGGGGUCACCCACCGUGCUGUACUUUGAAAGACUCGCAGCAACUACCUUAUCCAGGAUAAGCCAACCCAAUCUUUGCAAGCCUUUGGAAUAGGGACACGGAGAUGCCAGUCCAUCUCUGCCGGUCACCUGAAGAGAAAACACGGGAACUUGGGAGUUGUGCACGUGGAAGCAGGAAAAACUUGUUUUCCGAGCAGCAAAUAACAAUGACCUGGCGGGACAAGAAGAUUAUGGAAACAGCUGCCUAAGUUCCUGGUGGCAUCCCAGUCCUUGUCACAGUGUCUCUUCAGGCCCAGCUGUUUGGCCGUUAUGAGAUGACCCUACCUAGUCCUUUUAAUUAAUUGCCUUAUUAUGAUUAAACUGGCUGUGAGAGUGUCUGCUGCUUGAAGCCAAGGGAUCUUGGUGCCGCUGUGCCCCGUACCAUUUCGCAGGGCAGAGCCUGGAGCAAACUCCUGACACAGUUUUUCUUUCUAAAUCGAUUGUGGAGUCUAGUGUCAGGUAAGAAGUGUGACGUAAACAUUGGGUUCCAGGGAUUCAGACUCAAGUCAACUAGAAACAUCAAGAAGGCAUAUGUGGACUUCAGAACAAAUGUUUAUUACUGCUUAACGGGGCCAAGGGGGCAACACAAAGCACUGACAACAUCACUGACUCACAGAGACAGUCACCUGGUCACUUUUUGGUUGAAUCUGUUUAUUUCACAAGGCUUCAUUCACACAUGAAAACAAGAUACUGAUUCAAGUUCGUAACUGUUAAAAAAGUAAACAUUUCUUGGGACAAUGUACAAUAAAUUGCACUUUUCUUAACAAGCAUUACAUUUACAGAUAGCAUGUACUAUACAUAAUACAUGGAAUUGUGGAAACAUCGAAUUGGUCAGUGUUCACAGAGGCUGCUCACUCAUGUUUCUUUUGUAGUCAGCACUACAAUCAACUCCUUUAUUCUAGAACCUGUUUUCAUUAGAGAAGUCGUGGGCAAAAUCAUAGAAUUCAUAAAAAACAAAUGGUACAGAAUUUCUGCUACCUCCUCUGCAAGGGAAAGGUAGGAGUUGAAGGAAAGGAAGUGAUGCUCGCUGAGAAAGGUCUUCCUUCAUUGGAACUGAGGAUCUAGACAUUAGCAAAACACCAAAAACAGAGAAACUGAUGCAAAGGGCUAUUGGGUCAUCUUGGAUUCUGGGACCAUCUCCAGCUUGAUCCUUGUGCUUUCAUGACACCAGAGUCUUGAUGCAUUUAUGUACUUCUAAUUAAGUUUCCCUAUACUUUAUUCCAUAUAUAAUAUAUAGUUAUUAAAAGGUACAUUUUUAAUGGAAAAGAUUUUACAUGUUAACUCAUUGCCAAUGAAAAAGUAAAGUAACUUUAAAAUGUU